rnacentral:rRNA from 1 species
AUUGAACGCUGGCGGCAUGGCUAAAACAUGCAAGUCGAGCGCGAAAGAGGAGCAAUCCUCAAGUAGAGCGGCGAAAGGGUGAGUAAUACGUUUCUAUGUACCCCGAGGUGAGGGAUAGCCCAGGGAAACCUGGAUUAAUACCUCAUGUGGUCGCAAGAUCAAAGGAGCAAUCCGCCAUGGGAGCAGGGAACGUCCUAUCAGGUAGUUGGUGAGGUAAUGGCUCACCAAGCCUAUGACGGGUAGCGGGUGUGAGAGCAUGGCCCGCCACAUCGGGACUGAGACACUGCCCGGACUCCUACGGGAGGCUGCAGUAACGAAUCUUCCACAAUGCGCGAAAGCGUGAUGGAGCAAUGCCGCGUGCAGGAUGAAGCCCUUCGGGUGUAAACUGCUGUCAGGGAUUAGGAACACAAUGACCAAUCCCAAAGGAAGAGACGACUAACUCUGUGCCAGCAGUCGCGGUAAUACAGAGGUCUCG